UGAGUAACCUGCCCUUAACUCUGGGAUAAGCCUGGGAAACUGGGUCUAAUACCGGAUAUGACUCCUCAUCGCAUGGUGGGGGGUGGAAAGCUUUUUUGUGGUUUUGGAUGGACUCGCGGCCUAUCAGCUUGUUGGUGAGGUAAUGGCUUAUCAAGGCGACGACGGGUAGCUGGUCUGAGAGGAUGGCCAGCCACAGUUGGGACUGAGACACGGCCCAGACCUCCGUACGGGAGG
rnacentral:rRNA from 1 species